UGGGGAAUAUUGCACAAUGGGCGCAAGCCUGAUGCAGCCAUGCCGCGUGUAUGAAGAAGGCCUUCGGGUUGUAAAGUACUUUCAGCGGGGAGGAAGGCGAUAAGGUUAAUAACCUUGUCGAUUGACGUUACCCGCAGAAGAAGCACCGGCUAACUCCGUGCCAGCAGCCGCGGUAAUACGGAGGGUGCAAGCGUUAACCGGACUUACUGGGCGUAAAGCGCACGCAGGCGGUCUGUCAAGUCGGAUGUGAAAUCCCCGGGCUCAACCUGGGAACUGCAUUCGAAACUGGCAGGCUAGAGUCUUGUAGAGGGGGGUAGAAUUCCAGGUGUAGCGGUGAAAUGCGUAGAGAUCUGGAGGAAUACCGGUGGCGAAGGCGGCCCCCUGGACAAAGACUGACGCUCAGGUGCGAAAGCGUGGGGAGCAAACA
rnacentral:rRNA from 1 species